rnacentral:rRNA from 1 species
GCGAACGGGUGAGUAACACGUGGGCAAUCUGCCCUUCACUCUGGGACAAGCCCUGGAAACGGGGUCUAAUACCGGAUACGACUGCGGAAGGCAUCUUCUGCGGUGGAAAGCUCCGGCGGUGAAGGAUGAGCCCGCGGCCUAUCAGCUUGUUGGUGGGGUAAUGGCCUACCAAGGCGACGACGGGUAGCCGGCCUGAGAGGGCGACCGGCCACACUGGGACUGAGACACGGCCCAGACUCCUACGGGAGGCAGCAGUGGGGAAUAUUGCACAAUGGGCGAAAGCCUGAUGCAGCGACGCCGCGUGAGGGAUGACGGCCUUCGGGUUGUAAACCUCUUUCAGCAGGGAAGAAGCGAAAGUGACGGUACCUGCAGAAGAAGCGCCGGCUAACUACGUGCCAGCAGCCGCGGUAAUACGUAGGGCGCAAGCGUUGUCCGGAAUUAUUGGGCGUAAAGAGCUCGUAGGCGGCUUGUCACGUCGGAUGUGAAAGCCCGAGGCUUAACCUCGGGUCUGCAUUCGAUACGGGCUAGCUAGAGUGUGGUAGGGGAGAUCGGAAUUCCUGGUGUAGCGGUGAAAUGCGCAGAUAUCAGGAGGAACACCGGUGGCGAAGGCGGAUCUCUGGGCCAUUACUGACGCUGAGGAG